GACGAACGCUGGCGGCGUGCUUAACACAUGCAAGUCGAACGGAAAGGCCCUGCUUUUGUGGGGUGCUCGAGUGGCGAACGGGUGAGUAACAUGUGAGUAACCUGCCCUUGACUUUGGGAUAACUUCAGGAAACUGGGGCUAAUACCGGAUAGGAGCUCCUGCUGCAUGGUGGGGGUUGGAAAGUUUCGGCGGUUGGGGAUGGACUCGCGGCUUAUCAGCUUGUUGGUGGGGUAGUGGCUUACCAAGGCUUUGACGGGUAGCCGGCCUGAGAGGGUGACCGGCCACAUUGGGACUGAGAUACGGCCCAGACUCCUACGGGAGGCAGCAGUGGGGAAUAUUGCACAAUGGGCGGAAGCCUGAUGCAGCAACGCCGCGUGCGGGAUGACGGCCUUCGGGUUGUAAACCGCUUUCGCCUGUGACGAAGCGUGAGUGACGGUAAUGGGUAAAGAAGCACCGGCUAACUACGUGCCAGCAGCCACGGUGAUACGUAGGGUGCGAGCGUUGUCCGGAUUUAUUGGGCGUAAAGGGCUCGUAGGUGGUUGAUCGCGUCGGAAGUGUAAUCUUGGGGCUUAACCCUGAGCGUGCUUUCGAUACGGGUUGACUUGAGGAAGGUAGGGGAGAAUGGAAUUCCUGGUGGAGCGGUGGAAUGCGCAGAUAUCAGGAGGAACACCAGUGGCGAAGGCGGUUCUCUGGGCCUUUCCUGACGCUGAGGAGCGAAAGCGUGGGGAGCGAACAGGCUUAGAUACCCUGGUAGUCCACGCUGUAAACGGUGGGUACUAGGUGUGGGGUCCAUUCCACGGGUUCCGUGCCGUAGCUAACGCUUUAAGUACCCCGCCUGGGGAGUACGGCCGCAAGGCUAAAACUCAAAGGAAUUGACGGGGCCCCGCACAAGCGGCGGAGCAUGCGGAUUAAUUCGAUGCAACGCGUAGAACCUUACCUGGGUUUGACAUGGAUCGGAAGUGCUCAGAGAUGGGUGUGCCUCUUUUGGGGUCGGUUCACAGGUGGUGCAUGGCUGUCGUCAGCUCGUGUCGUGAGAUGUUGGGUUAAGUCCCGCAACGAGCGCAACCCUUGUUCACUGUUGCCAGCACGUUAUGGUGGGGACUCAGUGGAGACCGCCGGGGUCAACUCGGAGGAAGGUGGGGAUGACGUCAAGUCAUCAUGCCCCUUAUGUCCAGGGCUUCACGCAUGCUACAAUGGCUGGUACAGAGAGUGGCGAGCCUGUGAGGGUGAGCGAAUCUCGGAAAGCCGGUCUCAGUUCGGAUUGGGGUCUGCAACUCGACCUCAUGAAGUCGGAGUCGCUAGUAAUCGCAGAUCAGCAACGCUGCGGUGAAUACGUUCCCGGGGCU
rnacentral:rRNA from 1 species